UACGUAGGGGGCAAGCGUUGUCCGGAUUUAUUGGGCGUAAAGAGCGUGUAGGCGGCCAAGCAGGUCCGCUGUGAAAACUCGAGGCUCAACCUCGAGACGUCGGUGGAAACCGUUUGGCUAGAGUCCGGAAGAGGAGAGUGGAAUUCCCGGUGUAGCGGUGAAAUACGCAGAUAUCGGGAAGAACACCCGUGGCGAAAGCGGCUCUCUGGGACGGUACUGACGCUGAGACGCGAAAGCGUGGGGAGCGAACAGG
rnacentral:rRNA from 1 species